rnacentral:rRNA from 1 species
UACGGAGGGGGCUAGCGUUGUUCGGAAUUACUGGGCGUAAAGCGCGCGUAGGCGGACCUGCAAGUCGGGGGGUGAAAGCCCGAGGCUCAACCUCGGAACUGCCUUCGAUACUGCGGGUCUCGAGUCCGGGAGAGGUGAGUGGAAUUCCUAGUGUAGAGGUGAAAUUCGUAGAUAUUAGGAAGAACACCAGUGGCGAAGGCGGCUCACUGGCCCGGUACUGACGCUGAGGCGCGAAAGCGUGGGGGAGCAAACAGGG